rnacentral:rRNA from 1 species
GACGAACGCUGGCGGCAUGCCUAAUACAUGCAAGUCGAGCGAACAGAUGAAGUGCUUGCACUUCUGACGUUAGCGGCGAACGGGUGAGUAACACGUAAGGAAUCUACCUAUAAGCGGGGGAUAACAUUCGGAAACGGGUGCUAAUACCGCAUAAUAUCUUCUUCCGCAUGGAAGAAGAUUGAAAGACGGCUCUGCUGUCACUUAUAGAUGACCUUGCGGUGCAUUAGUUAGUUGGUGGGGUAACGGCCUACCAAGACGAUGAUGCAUAGCCGGCAUGAGAGGGUGGUCGGCCACAGUGGGACUGAGACACGGCCCAAACUCCUACGGGAGGAAGCGGUAGGGAAUCUUCCGCAAUGGGCGAAAGCCUGACGGAGCAAUGCCGCGUGAGUGAAGAAGGCCUUCGGGUCGUAAAACGCUGUUAUAAGAGAAGAACAAAUUGUAGAGUAACUGCUACAGUCUUGACGGUAUCUUAUCAGAAAGCCACGGCUAACUACGUGCCAGCCGCCGCAGUAA